rnacentral:rRNA from 1 species
GGGUUGUGAGGUUAAGCGACUAAGCGUACACGGUGGAUGCCCUGGCAGUCAGAGGCGAUGAAGGGCGUGCUAAUCUGCGAUAAGCGCCGGUAAGGUGAUAUGAACCGUUAUAACCGGCGAUACCCGAAUGGGGAAACCCAGUGUGACUCGUCACACUAUCAUUAACUGAAUCCAUAGGUUAAUGAGGCGAACCGGGGGAACUGAAACAUCUAAGUACCCCGAGGAAAAGAAAUCAACCGAGAUUCCCCCAGUAGCGGCGAGCGAACGGGGAGGAGCCCAGAGCCUGAAUCAGCAUGUGUGUUAGUGGAAGCGUCUGGAAAGGCGCGCGAUACAGGGUGACAGCCCCGUACACAAAAGCGCAUGUGCUGUGAGCUCGAUGAGUAGGGCGGGACACGUGGUAUCCUGUCUGAAUAUGGGGGGACCAUCCUCCAAGGCUAAAUACUCCUGACUGACCGAUAGUGAACCAGUACCGUGAGGGAAAGGCGAAAAGAACCCCGGCGAGGGGAGUGAAAAAGAACCUGAAACCGUGUACGUACAAGCAGUGGGAGCCCCACCACCAAAGCAUUUGCUGUACCGCGUUGACGGAGCGAAGCGACGUCAAACCGAUAAAACAGCAGUGUAAAGUGAGCCGCAGGGCGCUUUGCGCGACAGCGCAAAGGCAGGCGGUUUCGCGUAGCGAAAGCGAAUGCUUUGGGGUGGGGUGACUGCGUACCUUUUGUAUAAUGGGUCAGCGACUUAUAUUCUGUAGCAAGGUUAACCGAAUAGGGGAGCCGGAGGGAAACCGAGUCUUAAUUGGGCGUUAAGUUGCAGGGUAUAGACCCGAAACCCGGUGAUCUAGCCAUGGGCAGGUUGAAGGUUGGGUAACACUAACUGGAGGACCGAACCGACUAAUGUUGAAAAAUUAGCGGAUGACCUGUGGCUGGGGGUGAAAGGCCAAUCAAACCGGGAGAUAGCUGGUUCUCCCCGAAAGCUAUUUAGGUAGCGCCUCGUGAAUUCAUCUCCGGGGGUAGAGCACUGUUUCGGCUAGGGGGCCAUCCCGGCUUACCAACCCGAUGCAAACUGCGAAUACCGGAGAAUGUUAUCACGGGAGACACAC